GUUGUAUGGUUAAGUGACUAAGCGUACACGGUGGAUGCCUUGGCAGUCAGAGGCGAUGAAGGACGUAUUAACUUGCGAUAAGCCCAGAUUAGGCAGUAAAAGCCACUUGAGUCUGGGAUUUCCGAAUGGGGAAACCCACUAGCAUAAGCUAGUAUCGCUGCGUGAAUACAUAGCGCAGCGAGGCGAACCGGGGGAACUGAAACAUCUAAGUACCCCGAGGAAAAGAAAUCAACCGAGAUUCCGAAAGUAGCGGCGAGCGAAAUUGGACUAGCCCUUAAGCUUUAUAUGCGUUAGACGAACGGUCUGGAAAGUCCGGCGAUACAGGGUGAUAGCCCCGUAGUUGACAACGCACAUUCAGUGAAAUCGAGUAGGGCGGGACACGUGAUAUCCUGUCUGAAUAUGGGGGGACCAUCCUCCAAGGCUAAAUACUACUGACUGACCGAUAGUGAACCAGUACCGUGAGGGAAAGGCGAAAAGAACCCCUGUGAGGGGAGUGAAAUAGAACCUGAAACCGUGUACGUACAAGCAGUAGGAGCAGGCUUGUCCUGUGACUGCGUACCUUUUGUAUAAUGGGUCAGCGACUUAUAUUCAGUGGCAAGGUUAACCAUCUAGGGGAGCCGUAGGGAAACCGAGUCUUAACUGGGCGUUCAGUCUCUGGAUAUAGACCCGAAACCAGGUGAUCUAGCCAUGGGCAGGUUGAAGGUUGAGUAACAUCAACUGGAGGACCGAACCGACUAAUGUUGAAAAAUUAGCGGAUGACUUGUGGCUAGGGGUGAAAGGCCAAUCAAACCUGGAGAUAGCUGGUUCUCCCCGAAAGCUAUUUAGGUAGCGCCUCGGACGAAUACUACUGGGGGUAGAGCACUGUUAAGGCUAGGGGGUCAUCCCGACUUACCAACCCUUUGCAAACUCCGAAUACCAGUAAGUACUAUCCGGGAGACACACGGCGGGUGCUAACGUCCGUCGUGGAGAGGGAAACAACCCAGACCGCCAGCUAAGGUCCCAAAUUACUACUAAGUGGGAAACGAUGUGGGAAGGCUCAGACAGCCAGGAUGUUGGCUUAGAAGCAGCCAUCAUUUAAAGAAAGCGUAAUAGCUCACUGGUCGAGUCGGCCUGCGCGGAAGAUGUAACGGGGCUAAGUAGUAAACCGAAGCUGCGGCAAUAUACUUUUGUAUAUUGGGUAGGGGAGCGUUCUGUAAGCGGUUGAAGGUGUGUGGUAACGCAUGCUGGACGUAUCAGAAGUGCGAAUGCUGACAUGAGUAACGAUAAAGGGGGUGAAAAACCUCCUCGCCGGAAGACCAAGGGUUCCUGUCCAACGUUAAUCGGGGCAGGGUAAGUCGACCCCUAAGGCGAGGCCGAAAGGCGUAGUCGAUGGGAAACGGGUUAAUAUUCCCGUACUUCUUACAAUUGCGAUGGGGGGACGGAGAAGGCUAGGUGGGCCUGGCGACGGUUGUCCAGGUUCAAGUGCGUAGGCUGAGAGAUUAGGUAAAUCCGGUUUCUCUUAAGGCUGAGACACGACGUCGAGCACCUACGGGUGUGAAGUCAUUGAUGCCAUGCUUCCAGGAAAAGCCUCUAAGCUUCAGAUUGUAAGGAAUCGUACCCCAAACCGACACAGGUGGUCGGGUAGAGAAUACCAAGGCGCUUGAGAGAACUCGGGUGAAGGAACUAGGCAAAAUGGUACCGUAACUUCGGGAGAAGGUACGCUCUCGACGGUGAAGUCCCUUGCGGAUGGAGCUAUUGAGAGUCGCAGAUACCAGGUGGCUGCAACUGUUUAUUAAAAACACAGCACUGUGCAAAAUCGUAAGAUGACGUAUACGGUGUGACGCCUGCCCGGUGCCGGAAGGUUAAUUGAUGGGGUUAGACUUCGGUCGAAGCUCUUGAUCGAAGCCCCGGUAAACGGCGGCCGUAACUAUAACGGUCCUAAGGUAGCGAAAUUCCUUGUCGGGUAAGUUCCGACCUGCACGAAUGGCGUAAUGAUGGCCACGCUGUCUCCACCCGAGACUCAGUGAAAUUGAAAUCGCUGUGAAGAUGCAGUGUACCCGCGGCUAGACGGAAAGACCCCGUGAACCUUUACUACAGCUUGGCACUGAACAUUGACCCUACAUGUGUAGGAUAGGUGGGAGGCUUUGAAGCACGUACGCCAGUAUGUGUGGAGCCGUCCUUGAAAUACCACCCUUGUAGUGUUGAUGUUCUAACGUCGACCCCUUAUCGGGGUUGCGGACAGUGCCUGGUGGGUAGUUUGACUGGGGCGGUCUCCUCCCAAAGAGUAACGGAGGAGCACGAAGGUGGGCUAAUCACGGUUGGACAUCGUGAGGUUAGUGCAAUGGCAUAAGCCCGCUUGACUGCGAGAAUGACAAUUCGAGCAGGUGCGAAAGCAGGUCAUAGUGAUCCGGUGGUUCUGAAUGGAAGGGCCAUCGCUCAACGGAUAAAAGGUACUCCGGGGAUAACAGGCUGAUACCGCCCAAGAGUUCAUAUCGACGGCGGUGUUUGGCACCUCGAUGUCGGCUCAUCACAUCCUGGGGCUGAAGUCGGUCCCAAGGGUAUGGCUGUUCGCCAUUUAAAGUGGUACGCGAGCUGGGUUUAGAACGUCGUGAGACAGUUCGGUCCCUAUCUGCCGUGGGCGUUGGAAGAUUGAAGGGGGCUGCUCCUAGUACGAGAGGACCGGAGUGGACGAACCUCUGGUGUUCGGGUUGUGUCGCCAGACGCAUUGCCCGGUAGCUAAGUUCGGAAUCGAUAACCGCUGAAAGCAUCUAAGCGGGAAGCGAGCCCUGAGAUGAGUCUUCCCUGAUACUUUAAGUAUCCUAAAGGGUUGUCGGAGACUACGACGUUGAUAGGUCAGGUGUGUAAGUGCUGUGAGGCAUUGAGCUAACUGAUACUAAUUGCCCGUGAGGCUUAACCAUACAACACCCAAGGGGUUU
rnacentral:rRNA from 1 species